UUUUAAACUCCGGGAAACGAACCCGGGCCUACCGCGUGGCAGGCGUGGCAGUUCUACCACUGAACCAGCGAUGCUUAUAA